CAACCCUUAGUAGAGCGGCGCACGGGUGCGUAACACGUGGAUAAUCUGCCUGGAUGCCUGGGAUAACCAGUCGAAAGAUUGGCUAAUACCGGAUAAGCCCACGGUUUCUUCGGAGACUGAGGGAAAAGGUGGCCUCUGUAUACAAGCUAUCACAACCAGAUGAGUCCGCGGCCCAUCAGCUAGUUGGCGGGGUAAUGGCCCACCAAGGCGACGACGGGUAGCUGGUCUGAGAGGACGAUCAGCCACACUGGAACUGAGACACGGUCCAGACUCCUACGGGAGGCAGCAGUGGGGAAUUUUGCGCAAUGGGCGAAAGCCUGACGCAGCAACGCCGCGUGUGUGAUGAAGGUCUUUGGAUUGUAAAGCACUUUCGACCGGGACGAAACCGUAAAGCCUAAUACGCUUUGCCUUGACGGUACCGGGAGAAGAAGCACCGGCUAACUCUGUGCCAGCAGCCGCGGUAAUACAGAGGGUGCAAGCGUUGUUCGGAAUUAUUGGGCGUAAAGCGCGUGUAGGCGGCUUUGCAAGUCGGGUGUGAAAGCCCUCAGCUCAACUGAGGAAGUGCGCCCGAAACUGCAGAGCUUGAGUGCCGGAGAGGGUGGCGGAAUUCCCCAAGUAGAGGUGAAAUUCGUAGAUAUGGGGAGGAACACCGGUGGCGAAGGCGGCCACCUGGACGGUAACUGACGCUGAGACGCGAAAGCGUGGGUAGCAAACAGGAUUAGAUACCCUGGUAGUCCACGCCGUAAACGAUGAGAACUAGGUGUCGUGGGAGUUGACCCCCGCGGUGCCGUAGCUAACGC
rnacentral:rRNA from 1 species